UACGGGGGGGGCAAGCGUUGUUCGGAAUUACUGGGCGUAAAGGGUUUGUAGGUGGCUUGUUAAGUCAGACGUGAAAUCCCUCAGCUUAACUGGGGAACUGCGUCUGAUACUGGCGAGCUUGAGUGCAGGAGAGGAACGCGGAAUUCCAGGUGUAGCGGUGAAAUGCGUAGAUAUCUGGAGGAACACCGGUGGCGAAGGCAGGUCUCUGGGCCACUACUGACGCUGAGAAGCGAAAGCAUGGGGAGCGAACAGG
rnacentral:rRNA from 1 species